AGUUAUCUUAACAUCGGAGACAUUGAUAUACUUAUCAACUUUUUUUUUCUAACUUACUGUUCACGGAUGAUUUCCCAAACAACAAAAGACUGAUCACAUGCUAUGUAGAAUAUUUUUGCAAAACAAAAAGAUUAUGUUCAAAAAGUUUUAUUUUCAGAAGUCGUAUGUAUGUAAACUGGGAUUUUGAGUGCUUUAUAAACACUUAUAUUGGCAAUUUAGAUUUACCCUGUGUUACUUAGUUUUCUAUUAUCACUUCUAGUAAGAUGAAAUUAAGGGCAGGACCUAGACCUACAUAGAAAUCAUGAAAGAAGUCCUUGUAGCUUUUAACACUUUUAAGGAAACAGCUUUGAAAAAUUUGGCUUUGUGAUCGUCGUCAUCACAAAGUAAUGACGU
rnacentral:lncRNA from 1 species